AUGCUAGAAAACACUGGAGACUAAAGAUCUCGAUCUCUUAUUCAAAGGACAGUUACAGCAAAGGGAACAAGGGUACUGCACACUUCCUCCACAAUAGCCUGCCAAUGUGCCUCAGAUUUGACCUGGAAGAAGUAUCUAUAGAUAGUAGCUUAGCCUCUGUGCCCAUGCAGCCUCUGUACACU
rnacentral:sRNA from 1 species